rnacentral:rRNA from 1 species
AUUGAACGCUGGCGGCAGGCCUAACACAUGCAAGUCGAACGAGUGGCGGACGGGUGAGUAAUGUCUGGGAAACUGCCUGAUGGAGGGGGAUCACUACUGGAAACGGUAGCUAAUACCGCAUACCAUCAGAUGUGCCCAGCUGGGAUUAGCUUGUUGGUGGGGUAACGGCUCACCAAGGCGACGAUCCCUAGCUGGUCUGAGAGGAGGACCAGCCACACCGGAACUGAGACACGGGCCAGACUCCUACGGGAGGCAGCAGGGGGGAAUAGUGCGCAAUGGGCGCAAGCCGGAUUCAGCCAUGCCGCGUGUAUGAAGAAGGCCUUCGGGUGUUAAAAUACUUUCAUCGGGGAGGCGUUACCCGCAGAAGAAGCACCGGCUAACUCCGAGCCAGCCGCCGCGGUAAUUC